rnacentral:rRNA from 1 species
GCGGAAGGUCAUUCCC